GCACUAUUUAAUUUUUCCCCAGCCCUCUCUCGAGAACCCGGCAACGUAGCAACUUCAGGGAUUUUUCACACCGCCGGGGUGGCUCACCAACCACUGGCAACUAAGUUUCCACGCCGCCGAACAUUCCGAGUCGACUUACUGCCCCACCAUACGCUUACCAUCGCUUUCCACCAAUUUCUUCGGUAUCUUCGAAGCUGGCCUCUCCGAUAAUAUUAAAUCCAUAUCUCCACGGCACUGACUCUAUCAAGUGGUGUCAGGAUGAAAAUGGACUGACAGUCGCCUUGUCACUAAAUACGAGACCAUUCUGCUCUCUUUCCUUCACCAUAUCCGUUGGAUGCUCGACUCUAUCCGCCUUCGCUGACCCUAGUGAUUCCAUAGUCUGACGCUGUGAGUGCUGAAAAGUUAAUAUUCCGCGAUCGACGGCCAUCUUCACAAGGGGUAGGUAGUUCCAUGAAUGGAAAAGGCAAAAGAGUGAGCGCCUUGAGUCCGAGCUCGAUGAGCACAACACCAAUCACGCCGAGGGCUACAUGGAUUCUCCACAAGAAUAGCUCCAGCAUGCACGCCGAUAUAGCUGUUAGCACGCCCUUUGAUGCCUUCCAAGAUACGAGCAUGCCAUAGAGCUGCUUUUUCUCCGCCUUAUCCUUCAUAUGGCUUCCCAUUGCGUCUCCAGGAAUGUCGAGGUUGAAGUCAUACUUGCUCCGAACUGGAAUACCAG
rnacentral:sRNA from 2 species